rnacentral:rRNA from 1 species
AGAGUUUGAUCAUGGCUCAGAACGAACGCUGGCGGCAGGCCUCAAACAUGCAAGUCUAGGGGGUGUAGCAAUACAUCACCGGCGGACGGGUGCGUAACACGUGGGAAUAUACCUUUUGGUUCGGAACAACGCAGGGAAACUUGCGCUAAUACCGAAUGUGCCCUUACGGGGAAAGAUUUAUCGCCAAAGGAUUAGCCCGCGUAGGAUUAGCUAGUUGGUGAGGUAAUGGCUCACCAAGGCUCCGAUCCUUAGCUGUUCUGAGAGGAAGAUCAGCCACACUGGGACUGAGACACGGCCCAGACUCCUACGGGAGGCAGCAGUUGGGAAUCUUGGACAAUGGGGGAAACCCUGAUCCAGCCAUGCCGCGUGAGUGAUGAAGGCCUUCGGGUUGUAAAACUCUUUCGACGGGGACGAUAAUGACGGUACCCGUAGAAGAAGCUCCGGCUAACUUCGUGCCAGCAGCCGCGGUAAUACGAAGGGGGCUAGCGUUGUUCGGAAUUACUGGGCGUAAAGCGCGCGCAGGCGGUCUUCCAAGUCAGUGGUGAAAGCCCGGAGCUCAACUCCGGAACUGCCAUUGAAACUGUAAGACUUGAGGACGAGAGAGGUGAGUGGAAUUCCCAGUGUAGAGGUGAAAUUCGUAGAUAUUGGGAAGAACACCGGUGGCGAAGGCGGCUCACUGGCUCGUAUCUGACGCUCAGGCGCGACAGCGUGGGGAUCAAACAGGAUUAGAUACCCUAGUAGUCC